GCGGGGGUGGGGCGUCGACGCGCGAUCUGUAUCUCGGUCGCCUGGGUCGCGUCGAGCGAAUGGCGAGACCGGACCUCCCCCCG
ncrna:unclassified sequences c-di-GMP-II-GAG riboswitch